rnacentral:tRNA from 1 species
UCCCUGGUGGUCUAGUGGUUAGGACCCGGGGCUUUCUCCGCUGUGGCCCUGGGUUCAAUCCCUGGUCAGGGAA